UGCCUCCCUCUCCCCCAAUGAGGAGGGUACCACUUCCAUCUCUCUCUUGGUGACUGCCUCCUCUUCCGGGGGCGGGGCUUCAUGCCUCCCUCUCCCCCAAUGAGGAGGGUACCACUUCCAUCUCUCUCUUGGUGACUGCCUCCUCUUCCGGGGGCGGGGCUUCAUGCCUCCCUCUCCCCCAAUGAGGAGGGUACCACUUCCAUCUCUCUCUUGGUGACUGCCUCCUCUUCCGGGGGCGGGGCUUCAUGCCUCCUUUCCCCCUAUGUGGAGGGUACCACUUCCAUCUCUCCCUUGGUGCCAUCCCAUUUUUUUCACACAUCUGCAAGCUGCCAGAGGCAGCCUCUUUGCUAAUUAGUUCAGGGCAGCAAAUUUCAACAUAGCCUCAGUUCAGAUUGUUCCCAAAGUGAAGGGCAUGUGAAUUCUUGCCUGUACAGCUACAGGUCCAAGAGUGGAUGGAGGAGCACAGGCCUCCUUCCAGAAACCAGGCAGGAAACUCAACCCUGGAUCCUGUGUUGCCUCUCCCCUAGGGUGAUUUGCCGUUAUCCUUGUUUGUUUGUUCGUUUAUUUACUUAUUAACUUAUCUUGUAGCACUCACAUUACAACACGAAGACACGUGGGGUGCAGGGGGUCUCAGCAGCUCCGAGGCUGGAGUCUGAACCCCCUUUUCCUCCGUGAAGCAAUGCUCCAACUCCUUGCUUUCCCAGGAAUAUAAGAACACAAGGAGGCUGUUCGUGCUUCCGUUUCGUGUAUUGAAUGGUGAACCUGCCGAACUGUGGGGAAGAAGUGACAAAACCCACAGUUACAGCUCACACUCAGAACUCUCCGGGGCAAGUAGCAUCGACAGGGACCUGCAAAUGCUGAGUUCUCCCGGCCGAGGAGUGAACUGUGAAGGUGGCCUUCCAGAGUCCAGAGUCUGACCUUGAUGCUCUCUGGCCAUAUCUAAUGUGAGUGUUUAAAAACCACAUGUCCCACGACAGAGGACAGGCAUGAGCCCUUCCAGGUCAAGC
ensembl:lncRNA